ACCACCACUGGGCAUGAGAGGAAUAUGGUGAAACUCUGUAUUUAUUUCAGCAGCCUUGAUUACUAUAAUCGUAGAGUUGUUCCCCUUCCUUUAUUGAGGCUGCCCUUCCUCUGGCCACCCCAGACUUAGCCUGUGACAUUCCCUGCCUCAAAGGGGCACAUCUGCAUUAACAGGCUGUGACCAGAGAUUGCCCCAGGCAGCUGGUCCAGCUGGGCAUCCAAGUGACUACUCCUCCAUCACAGAUUUUAAAGUGGUCACAGUGAUUUUACCACGGAGUCACCGAAUCAUUCAGGAUAUUUAUUUCUGAGGUGAAGCAUGUAAUUGUUCAAUACAAUGAGAAUUUCAACAUCUUUAAGAGGAAGAGAUGCCUUGCAGAAGAAGUUUAGUCUGGAGGCAUUACUGGCAGCACUGCAAUGUGAGCUAUCCAAAUAAUGUCAGCUAGAAGUUUAAAGGAAGGAAGGGUGAAUUUCACAGUAGAGCAGAACAAAUCAACCUUGUCAGACUCCUCAGUGUGUAGAGCAUGAUUUCUUCAGCCAGAGCCUGAGGAACCUGAUUCACAGACACAGAAAAAGAGCAAGAAAGAUGUGUCAUAAUUGAAUCUACGUAAAAUCUGAUUGUAUCUUCUCUUCCUGUCUUUUUCUUUAAAACCUGAAGACUGAAGAGGGCUCUGCUGAAAGCCUUGCCUCUCACCAGAUCUUUUUUAAGUUGACAUGUGCCUCAAGCUCUGCACUACAGAACAGAAGCUCACAGUCCUCAGAGUGAAAUCUCAGCAGUUCUGGGGGCAAUUUCUGGGAAUUGUAAACUCUCAGACAGCACUUUGGCCUUCAUUAGACAGUUCAGGGAUGGUUUGAGUUUUCUUAUUAACUUAAUUGGCUUCCCUGGAAAUGUCAAUUUCUUCUCUGAAUUCACAGCAACCCUCCUGUCGCUGAUGGUGCCCCUGUUGUGACUGACUGUUUCAGAUGUAAGUCUGUUUUUGGAUCAGUAAUUAUAUGAUAAUGUGCUGGAUACCUCUGGAAGCAUAGCUGGAUAAAAACACAAACAAUAUUACCAGUGUUGCAGCUGAGAACUAAAAAAUAAAAAAGCAAAGUCAACUGGAAGUUUCCUCUGGUGGUCCAGCUGUUAAGGUGAGGAAUUAUCAGAACUGAGCUGGUUCAGACUGUAUUUUUUUCAGCAAAGAGGUACAAGACCAACUUUCUCACCAGUUUUGAGUUCUGUUUCCUUUUAUUCAGAUAGAAUUCUCCAGUACUGGCUUGUUGUACAGCUAAAAUUGACUGCAGCUUACCUAGUUACUGAAACAAAGGUCUCUGAGCUAGGAUUUUACUCUGAUUCUUAUAUUCCAUGGAUCUCAGCCACCCCAAAGUCAGGCCAGUUCCAUCUGCGUGGCAGGGAUGAGCCACCUCUAUUUCAAAUGCCAGAGGAAGUUCACUGAGAAUUCAGUUAGCACUCACCACAAAGCAAUCGCCCUCCAGAUCCUGCUCGGAGCUUUACAAAUACAUUUCUCAAGUUUCAGUUUAACCUUUGCUAUAAAUAUUC